rnacentral:lncRNA from 1 species
CAUUAAAACCAAGGACUUCAGACCUUCGGACUGAGUUGGCACUGAUGAUGUGGAACUGCCUCCAUCUCCCUCCAUCAGCACCUGUUGUAGCCAUCGAGGGUUUCGUGGUGCCUGGGUGUCAGGGGCCAGACUUCCUGCAGAACCGAGAGCUUUUACCAGCGAUGGAUCGGGAGCAACUUCCGUCCAGGGAGGAUCAAUUACCAAAGAACUGCAGCUCCAGGGAUGCCUGGGUGGCUCAGCAGUUGAGCGUCUGCCUUCAGCCCAGGCUGUGAUCCUGGGGUUCUGGGGUGGAGUCCCCCAGCCAGCUCCCUGAAUGGAGCCUGCUU